AGCGAACGCUGGCGGCAGGCCUAACACAUGCAAGUCGAACGCCCCUUCGGGGGAGUGGCGGACGGGUGAGUAACGCGUGGGAACGUGCCCUUUGGUACGGAACAACUGAGGGAAACUUCAGCUAAUACCGUAUGUGCCCUACGGGGGAAAGAUUUAUCGCCAUUGGAGCGGCCCGCGUUGGAUUAGCUAGUUGGUGGGGUAAAGGCCCACCAAGGCUACGAUCCAUAGCUGGUCUGAGAGGAUGAUCAGCCACACUGGGACUGAGACACGGCCCAGACUCCUACGGGAGGCAGCAGUGGGGAAUCUUGCGCAAUGGGCGAAAGCCUGACGCAGCCAUGCCGCGUGAAUGAUGAAGGUCUUAGGAUUGUAAAGUUCUUUCACCGGGGAAGAUAAUGACGGUACCCGGAGAAGAAGCCCCGGCUAACUUCGUGCCAGCCGCCGCCGUAAUAC
rnacentral:rRNA from 1 species